rnacentral:rRNA from 1 species
UACGUAGGGAGCGAGCGUUAUCCGGAAUUAUUGGGCGUAAAGGGUGCGUAGAUGGUUGAUAUAAGUCUUUUGUAAAAAUGCUAGGCUCAACCUAGUAGGGCAAAAGAUACUGAUGAACUAGAGUACGGCAGAGGCAAGUGGAACUACAUGUGUAGCGGUAAAAUGCGUAAAUAUAUGUAAGAACACCGGUGGCGAAGGCGGCUUGCUGGGCCUGUACUGACAUUGAGGCACGAAAGCGUGGGGAGCAAACA